GCUGAAGAGCCAGCUGGUCGCAGCAGAGGGGAUCACAGCUUGGGCAGAGUGGAACCGAGGACCUGGCUUGACAGCCAGCACAUACUGAUACGGACACACAUGGGAGGAUGUCCUGGUGUCCACCAAAUGACUAUUCUCAGACUGGCACUGUGGCUUGGAGGAGGUCUUCAGGAAACAUCUGGAAGGGAGAAGCCUGGACGCAGUGAGAUGGCACAGCCCCAGGGCUCACAGAAAGGCAUUCAGCUGGAGUUUCCAUGGAGACAACAGGGUCACCA